rnacentral:rRNA from 1 species
UACAGAGGUCUCAAGCGUUGUUCGGAUUUAUUGGGCGUAAAGAGCGUGUAGGCGGCCAGACAGUCCGUUGUGAAACUCGAGGCUCAACCUCGAGAUGUCGAUGGAAACCGUCUGGCUAGAGUCCGGAAGAGGAGUGUGGAAUUCCUGGUGUAGCGGUGAAAUGCGCAGAUAUCAGGAAGAACACCUAUGGCGAAGGCAGCACUCUGGGACGGUACUGACGCUGAGACGCGAAAGCGUGGGGAGCGAACAGG